AUGAACGCUGGCGGCGUGCCUAAUACAUGCAAGUCGAGCGAACAGACGAGGAGCUUGCUCCUCUGACGUUAGCGGCGGACGGGUGAGUAACACGUGGAUAACCUACCUAUAAGACUGGGAUAACUUCGGGAAACCGGAGCUAAUACCGGAUAAUAUAUUGAACCGCAUGGUUCAAUAGUGAAAGACGGUUUUGCUGUCACUUAUAGAUGGAUCCGCGCCGCAUUAGCUAGUUGGUAAGGUAACGGCUUACCAAGGCAACGAUGCGUAGCCGACCUGAGAGGGUGAUCGGCCACACUGGAACUGAGACACGGUCCAGACUCCUACGGGAGGUAGCAGUAGGGAAUCUUCCGCAAUGGGCGAAAGCCUGACGGAGCAACGCCGCGUGAGUGAUGAAGGUCUUCGGAUCGUAAAACUCUGUUAUUAGGGAAGAACAAAUGUGUAAGUAACUAUGCACGUCUUGACGGUACCUAAUCAGAAAGCCACGGCUAACUACGUG
rnacentral:rRNA from 1 species